GAGUUUGAUCGUGGCUCAGGAUGAACGCUGGCGGCGUGCCUAAUACAUGCAAGUCGAGCGAACGGACGAGAAGCUUGCUUCUCUGAUGUUGGCGGCGGACGGGUGAGUAACACGUGGGUAACCUACCUAUAGGACUGGGAUAACUCCGGGAAACCGGGGCUAAUACCGGAUAACACAUGAAACCGCAUGGUUUCAUGAUGAAAGACGGUCUUGCUGUCACUUAUAGAUGGAUCCGCGCUGCAUUAGCUAGUUGGUAAGGUAACGGCUUACCAAGGCAACGAUGCAUAGCCGACCUGAGAGGGUGAUCGGCCACACUGGGACUGAGACACGGUCCAGACUCCUACGGGAGGCAGCAGUAGGGAAUCUUCCGCAAUGGGCGAAAGCCUGACGGAGCAACGCCGCGUGAGUGAUGAAGGUCUUCGGAUCGUAAAACUCUGUUAUUAGGGAAGAACAUAUGUGUAAGUAACUGUGCACAUCUUGACGGUACCUAAUCAGAAAGCCACGGCUAACUACG
rnacentral:rRNA from 1 species